AACGCAAAUUGCACUCCCUGGCAUUCCGGGGAGUAUGCCUGUUUGAGGGUCAGUUUAAAUAAAUAUCGUGGUGUUGCUUUUUUGUGACGCUUCGGAAUUGGGUUAUCUUGAUCCCCUCUGGGUUAAGUGACCUAAAAUUGAUGUAUUUCUGUGCAUCUCGGACGUACAUAAGAAUUUUUUUAUCCGUCAGGGUUGCCAGAUCCUUAUUAGGUAUGAUCACGUUGCAUGUGAAAUCCGUACCUAUAACAUAACUCAUAUUUUGACCUCAAAUCAGGUAGGAAUACCCGCUGAACUUAA
rnacentral:misc_RNA from 1 species